rnacentral:misc_RNA from 1 species
AACGCACAUUGCGCCCGGUGGUAAUCCGCCGGGCAUGCCUGUCCGAGCGUCGUCUCAACCCCUCGAGUGCCCUGGGCGCUCGGCGUUGGCGGCCUGCGACCCCGCAGCCGCCCAAAUGCAGCGGCGGCCCCGCCGCGGCGCACCUGCGCGAAGUAAGGUCUCAGAAAACCUCCGCGCAGUGCCCCGGAGGGUGCCUGCCCCUAAACGCAAACCGCCUCCGGGCGGCGAGAACGAAGUUUGACCUCGGAUCAGGUAGGGAUACCCGCUGAACUUAA